CGCCUAACACAUGCAAGUCGAACGCAGUAGCAAUACUGAGUGGCAAACGGGUGAGUAUAAUGUGGGAAUCUGCCUUUUGGUUUGGAAUAACACGGGGAAACUUGUGCUAAUACCGAAUAAGCCCUUACGGGGAAAGUUUUAAUGCCGAAAGAUGAGCCCGCACUUGAUUAGCUAGUUGGUAAGGUAAAAGCUUACCAAGGCAACGAUCAAUAGCUGUUCUUAGAGGAAGACCAGCCACAUUGGGACUGAGACACGGCCCAGACUCCUACGGGAGGCAGCAGUGGGGAAUCUUGCACAAUGGGGGAAACCCUGAUGCAGCGAUGCCGCGUGAGUGAAGAAGGCCUUUGGGUUGUAAAACUCUUUCGUCGGGGAAGAAAAUGACUGUACCCGAAUAAGAAGGUCCGG
rnacentral:rRNA from 1 species